rnacentral:misc_RNA from 1 species
GUUGUGACCAGUGCCAUCAGCGAUUGAAGACGUGAAAGAUGGAAAGAAGCACUAAGCUAUCUCUGUGUGUGUGUUUGUGUGUCUUCUCUUUGAAUCUAUGGAUAUGGAGAGAGUCUCCGUGUCACUGAAACUUAAACCAAAAAGAGAAAGGGAGAAAAUGACGUGGAGAAAGAAAAAUGAAUAAAGUAAUGCGAUAGAGCGCGUGAAGAAC